CCUACGGGUGGCAGCAGUGGGGAAUAUUGGACAAUGGGCGAAAGCCUGAUCCAGCCAUGCCGCGUGUGUGAAGAAGGCCUUCGGGUUGUAAAGCACUUUCAGUGGGGAAGAAAGCCUUGGGGCUAAUACCCUCGAGGAAGGACAUCACCCACAGAAGAAGCACCGGCUAACUCCGUGCACAGCAGCCGCGGUAAUACUGAGGGUGCGAGCGUUAAUCGGAAUUACUGGGCGUAAAGCGCGCGUAGGCGGUCUGAUAAGCCGGUUGUGAAAGCCCCGGGCUCAACCUGGGAACGGCAUCCGGAACGGUCAGGCUAGAGUGCAGGAGAGGAAGGUAGAAUUCCCGGUGUAGCGGUGAAAUGCGUAGAGAUCGGGAGGAAUACCAGUGGCGAAGGCGGCCUUCUGGACUGACACUGACGCUGAGGUGCGAAAGCGUGGGUAGCAAACAGGAUUAGAUACCCUUGUAGUC
rnacentral:rRNA from 1 species